CUAGAGGGAAGGUUCCAGACACGUCGAGAGUGGGAAACUUAAAUUCCCCUCUCUGGUGUAGGCGCAGGCUUUAGCUCCAGGAUCUUUUCUGGAAGAGACUGGGGCAGCAUGAAUGUGCUGGAAGAUUAGAGGCUGCUGAUGCUGAAGGAAGGAGAAACGAGGAGGAAGUGUCCCUGUGGACAAGUCAUCUCCCUUCAUUUAAGCCAGGGAAGGCUGGGAGGUAUGAAUUUGAAGCUGGACACGUUGCUGCUCCCCUUAAAGUUUGGAUUAUUUUACUAAAGAAGAAGAGAACAGGAAAUACAGAGGACUGAGGAACUUUAUAGACUAUACGAUGGAGAUGAAUCCAGCAAAAUCCAGCUUAUAUGAAGUAAUAUGGGCCAAUCAACCUACUUUCUUCAACAAAUAAAUGACAAAGAAAGGAGAGAUGUGAGUGGAAGUCCUACAAAAUAAAAUAGAUCUGACAGAA
ensembl:lncRNA LINC00237 long intergenic non-protein coding RNA 237